ACAACUCCAUAAGCAUUGCCUAAGACAGCAGGCUAGGGGGCGAUCGUCUUCCGUUAAUUUCCUGCCGAGGUUAUAGCUAUCCAUUCUGUCAUCGAGGGACUAUUUUCCUAGUCCUCAAUGCUGGGUCUUGGAGUUGCCAUACCUCGGUUCUACGCCGAGGUUUUUUUAUGGGUUCC
rfam:Prochlorothrix hollandica PCC 9006 = CALT 1027 contig_10, whole genome shotgun sequence.